UACGUAGGUUCCGAGCAUUAUCCGGAGUGACUGGGUGUAAAGAGUUGCGUAGGUGGCAUGAAAAGUCGGUAGUGAAAUCUGGUGGCUCAACCAUUCAGGCUAUUACCGAAACUUUCAAGCUCGAGACCGUUAGGGGUAACUGGAAUUUCUAGUGUAGGAGUGAAAUCCGUAGAUAUUAGAAAGAACACCGACAGCGUAGGCAGGUUACUGGGGCCGUUCUGACACUAAGGCACGAAAGCGUAGGGAGCAA
rnacentral:rRNA from 1 species